rnacentral:rRNA from 1 species
GACGAACGCUGGCGGCGUGCUUAACACAUGCAAGUCGAGCGGUAAGGCCCUUUCGGGGGUACACGAGCGGCGAACGGGUGAGUAACACGUGGGUGACCUGCCCUCAGCUCUGGGAUAAGCCUGGGAAACCGGGUCUAAUACUGGAUAUGACUCCAUGACGCAUGUUGUGGGGUGGAAAGCCUUGUGCGGCUGAGGAUGGGCCCGCGGCCUAUCAGCUUGUUGGUGGGGUGANGGCCUACCAAAGGCGACGACGGGUAGCCGGCCUGAGAGGGCGACCGGCCACACUGGGACUGAGACACGGCCCAGACUCCUACGGGAGGCAGCAGUGGGGAAUCUUGCGCAAUGGGCGAAAAGCCUGACGCAGCGACGCCGCGUGAGGGAUGACGGCCU